rnacentral:tRNA from 1 species
CCAGCCGCUGGCCGGGAUGCGGCCGAUGCCGCGCCAGUUGCGGUCGGUGACCUCGAAGACCUCCUCGAUCAUGCCGAGGGCGGCCGGG